GGGUGACUUUUGAUUUCGUGGUA
rnacentral:siRNA from 1 species